rnacentral:rRNA from 1 species
GAUCCUACGGGAGGCAGCAGUGAGGAAUAUUGGUCAAUGGGCGAGAGCCUGAACCAGCCAAGUCGCGUGAGGGAGUACUGCCCUAUGGAUUGUAAACCUCUUUUGUCGGGGAGCAAAGAGAUCACGUGUGGUCAAAAGCGAGAGUACCCGAAGAAAAAGCAUCGGCUAACUCCGUGCCAGCAGCCGCGGUAAUACGGAGGAUGCGAGCGUUAUCCGGAUUUAUUGGGUUUAAAGGGUGCGUAGGCGGGACGGUAAGUCAGCGGUAAAAAUGCGGAGCUCAACUCCGUCGAGCCGUUGAAACUGCC